UACGAGGGGGGCAAGCGUUGUUCGGAAUUAUUGGGCGUAAAGAGCUCGUAGGCGGUUUGUUGCGUCGGCUGUGAAAUCCCGAGGCUCAACCUCGGGUCUGCAGUCGAUACGAGCAAACUAGAGUGUUGCAGGGGAGACUGGAAUUCCUGGUGUAGCGGUGAAAUGCGCAGAUAUCAGGAGGAACACCGGUGGCGAAGGCGGGUCUCUGGGCAACAACAUGACGCUGGAGGAGCGAAAGCCGUGGGGAGCGAACAGG
rnacentral:rRNA from 1 species